GACGUAGGGGGCCAGCGUUGCUCGGAAUUACUGGGCGUAAAGGGCGCGUAGGCGGCUUGGCAAGUUGGAUGUGAAAGCCCAGGGCUCAACCCUGGAAUUGCAUUCAAAACUGCUUUGCUUGAAUUCGGUAGAGGUUGGUGGAAUUCCCAGUGUAGAGGUGAAAUUCGUAGAGAUUGGGAAGAACACCCGUGGCGAAGGCGGCCAACUGGACCGACAUUGACGCUGAGGCGCGAAAGCGUGGGGAUCAAACAGG
rnacentral:rRNA from 1 species